ACGUAGGGUGCGAGCGUUAAUCGGGAUUACUGGGCGUAAAGCGUGCGCAGGCGGUUUUGUAAGCCAGAUGUGAAAUCCCCGGGCUUAACCUGGGAACUGCAUUUGUGACUGUACGGCUGGAGUGCGGCAGAGGGGGAUGGAAUUCCGCGUGUAGCAGUGAAAUGCGUAGAUAUGCGGAGGAACACCGAUGGCGAAGGCAAUCCCCUGGGCCUGCACUGACGCUCAUGCACGAAAGCGUGGGGAGCAAACAGGA
rnacentral:rRNA from 1 species